rnacentral:lncRNA from 1 species
GGUAUCCAAGCAGGAGUUACUGGAGCUCUUUAAGGAGCUACACACUGGGAGAAAGGUGAAAGAUGGGCAACUUACGGUCGGACUGGUGGGCUACCCUAAUGUUGGUAAGAGUUCAACAAUCAACACCAUCAUGGGCAACAAGAAAGUAUCUGUGUCUGCCACACCUGGUCACACAAAGCACUUUCAGACUCUCUAUGUGGAGCCUGGCCUCUGCCUGUGUGACUGUCCUGGCUUGGUGAUGCCAUCUUUUGUGUCUACCAAGGCAGAAAUGACUUGCAGCGGAAUCCUCCCAAUUGAUCAGAUGAGAGAUCAUGUUCCUCCUGUAUCACUAAUAUCCUUUCUGCUUUGGAAACACUCUAGUUAUUACGUGCAUAUUAGGGCUUCAGGUUUAUUUUGGGCAUUUGAGGGAUUCAGAUUUGAUGAAGAAU